CGCUUUAGCGAACUGAUAUACGAGUGUGGAGUGUACGCUGUGUACGUUCAACUUGUACUCGAAACAAACAAUUAUGCCACGUGGAUGGAUCAUGAUUUAGGCCCACUAAACGAGGCCUUAACGGAACCAGCCCAAUAUAAUUAGCCCAUUAGCCCAGUAUCCCACAGGUAAAUCGACGGGCACAUCUGCGGGAGCGGCGGCGGCGGCGCAUCUCGCACAUAGCCACGCCCUGCCGCCGGCGCUCACCUCCUCGGAGGGAUGCCCGACCGUCGUUGUGGAGACGCUGUGUCACACCUCCGAGAGUCCAUCUUCGAGCACUCCAGUCUCCAGGUUAGUAUUAUUCAUUAUUUACAUGUUUAUUUGUCCACUACUACAUUGUUCGAUUACGAUUUAUAACCAUUUAGUUGUAUUUUAUUAAAUUUAUUUUGACUCAUUUCGGUGUAAUAGUACAUUUCAAGAUGAAGAGGUGUGGAUAAUUGACCUCUUUUUACUGAUGCAAUCAGUUCAUUCUAGGGACAAUAGGGGCCAGAGAGCUAGCGACACCGACCAAAAUUAUCCUUGUGUUAGUUCUAGUUCCUGGUCAGUGGCGGCCCGAUUUGUGGCAUGAUUAGAAAAUAGUGACAUUUAUCAACGAAUUAUCAAACUAGUUCAUAUGAUAUAGAUUAAUACAAAUGAAUUUUUUACUCCCUUGGACAGCUAGAUUUUUAUUUGAGUAUAUAAUUGUGUACAUGUGUACAGUAUUGAAGUUACAUGUACCCAGCUCCCUCCGCCACUGUUCCUGAUUUGCUAUAUGAUCCUUGGCUCAGUGGAAGCAUACAGUUGAAGGAUUGAUCCAUUUGAGGAUUUGCUGCUCAUAUGAUCAUAUCACAAAUUCACAAUACAUGCUUGUCAUGGUCCCACAUGUCAUGGAUCACCAAAGUUCACAAGACCAAGUAGACUUUCUUCUAUAUUCUAUAUGCAAUACAUCACAACUUAUGACACCAUUGGUACAACUCCCAUAUUGACAGAUGGACCAAAUGUAUGACCUUAAAACUAUCAGCCACGCGACUUGCAAACUCUUAAAGCAUCUUUGUUGCUACAACAGAUUGUCUCCAGUAUUUCUUGAAUCAGUAGUGCACCUUGUCUCAAUAGUAGGCCUGCCUUUGUCUCUAUGUUGGGAAUGUGAAUUGGAGAGAGCAUUGGAGUUGAGUGUCUUCUACCAGAAUAGCAUGGUAGCAAAGCUAUUAAAGAAAGAUAUUGUUUUUGCGGUAUUUUUUAAAUUAUAAAAGAGUGUAUGCUAUUAGAGAAUAGACUCAAACUUAAGGUAUGCUUCCACUGAAGCUGUUGCCAUGUAGAAAAAGAUUGGUUAGUUUGACAAGAUUGCCAACGAACUCUGGAAUAUGUCCAAAGAGAUUAUUCUGUGCAAAGCUUAGAAUAGAGAGGUUGCUCAAAUUUCCUACGGUAGAUGGAAUAUGUCCAAAGAAAUUAUUUCUUGCAAAUAUUAGAUCGCGUAUGCUGCUCAGAUUUCCUACUGCAGGUGGAAUAUAUCCGAAAAAUGAAUUGUCAGAGAUAUCAAGCUUCUCUAAAUGCUUCCAGUGCCAUAAACUUGAUGGUAUAC
rnacentral:lncRNA from 1 species